rnacentral:lncRNA from 1 species
UCCAAAUAGAGUUGUUUUCUAAACACCUAGAAUCUGUUAAUUAGUCAUUUAUUUUGGUAAUUUAGUCAUGAUUUUAACGCUGAUUUACGUAGAUAUGUCAUAGUGAUUAGAAUCAAAUUAUUUUUAUUAAAGAAACUGAAAAAAUCCCGUACGAAUAGAGAAGAUCAGAUGUUUCAAGAUUCAUAAAUUGGAAUGAAAAUGAAAUACGAAUAUCAUGAUCAUACUCAAUUUGUUAGCAUUAUUUCUCACUUCUUUUUGUGAUUCACAUAAAAGAAAUUUGAAUGUUAUAAAAUACAAGGGCAUAAAGUGU